UACGUAGGGUGCGAGCGUUAAUCGGAAUUACUGGGCGUAAAGCGUGCGCAGGCGGUUUUGUAAGCCAGAUGUGAAAUCCCCGGGCUCAACCUUUGAAUGUCAGUGGAUACUGCCGGGCUAGAGUCCGGAAGAGGCGAGUGGAACUCCUGGCGUAGCGGUGGAAUGCGCAGAUAUCAGGAAGAACACCAACGGCGAAGGCAGCUCGCUAGGACGGUACUGACGCUGAGACGCGAAAGCGUGGGGAGCGAACAGG
rnacentral:rRNA from 1 species